GCGAUCCUCCCACCUCAGUCUCCUGAGCAGCCGGGACUACAGGCAUAUGCCACCAUGCCUAGCUAAUUUUUGAUUUUUUUGUAGAGAUAGGAUCUUGCUAUGUUGCUCAGGCUGGCCUCAGGCUCCUGGACACCAGCAACCCUCCUACCUCAGUCUCCCAAAGUGCUGAGAUUAUAGGUGUGAGCCACUGCACCUGGCCUUUGUCUGUCUUAUGUAUUUUUAUAUUUCCCUGCAAUCUGUAUUGGGGGUAAGAGACAAUGACUCUUAUUGAGGUGGAGGGCAUCGUGUUUCAGAGAAACUGGCACUCAACAACUAUUUCAUUUGCUCUUCUACAUUUUCUAGCCUCUUUUGCAGUUUGGUUGGGCU
rnacentral:lncRNA from 1 species